UACGUAGGGUGCAAGCGUUGUCCGGAAUUAUUGGGCGUAAAGAGCUCGUAGGCGGUUUGUCGCGUCUGCUGUGAAAACCCGAGGCUCAACCUCGGGCCUGCAGUGGGUACGGGCAGACUAGAGUGCGGUAGAGGAGAAUGGAAUUCCUGGUGUAGCGGUGGAAUGCGCAGAUAUCAGGAAGAACACCGAUGGCGAAGGCAGAUCUCUGGGCCGUAACUGACGCUGAGGAGCGAAAGCGUGGGGAGCGAACAGG
rnacentral:rRNA from 1 species